rnacentral:lncRNA from 1 species
AGAAAUGGUCCAGAGGAGGAAGAAGCUUCUCUAGUUCUAAACAUAGAACUUGUCAAAACUACAUCUUUGAUGUGCAUUUAAAAAUAUUCAUCAGCAUUUAAGCUACUGCAGUGGUAACAAUCUAAAGAGAACAUUUACUGCAUCUCUAUGAUGCUUCUUAUUGCUCCAAAUCUACUAAUUUCAGUCAUUGGUAUUGGGACUUUGGCCGUCAAUAGUGUUUCUGUGGGCUACAAGGUCAUUUCCUUAUAGGCUGAAAUUAUCCUUUACAUCCUUUGCAAUUUGUGAAACUUCUAGAAAAACUUUCAUCAGUGAAAAAUGGGUGCUAUUUAGAUAUCUGGCCAUUUUCAAAACAGUCCCACUUGUUUUUUGAUUUUAUCAACUUUCACUCCAUUUUUUUUGCUUUUACAACUAUGGAUCAAAUUACCUGUUUAUGGAUCAAAAUGUCUCCAAUUGUCGACUGCAUACAUCCAUCACAAGGAGUACCAAUGUCGUUUUGUGCUUUCUUUUUUGGUUUCAAUUGAUUUAAACUGCUGCUUAGGUUUACUCUGCUGGCAUUAGCUACAUGCACUUCCAAUUACACGCCUCUUCUAUUUCUGUUGAAUUCUGUUUAUCAGAUUUCGGCACUAAUUGAGAGUUUCUCACAAUAUUUCUAUCUGCUUUGAUGCAUAAGUAAAUAUGACUAUUUAUGUGACUAGAUAUGAAUGUUUAGUACCUAAACUUUAGUUAGCUAACCGUUCUCUCCUAUUGUGCCUUCUAUAAUGGAUCUGAUCACGUGAAAUCUUAUUUUCAUCUUUACAUGAUAGCAUCGCAAUGUUUGGAAUCUCUUAAUUCUGUUUUCUCGACCUUAGUCUGUAGUAGAAUAUUGGUUGUUACUCAUGCUAAUUUUUUUAUUUCUCUUCAAACUGUAUAACUUGUAUAAAAUGCUUCUUAUUCUGGUUGGUAUCUUGAACCAGUUAAACAGGUGCUGAUUCACACAUCGCGGAUUGUUUUAGAGACUUAGGUUUUGUUACAGUUAAAAAUUAAAAUUACUACUGUUUUAUAUGAUUUUGAUGUUUCCCUUUGAUCUCUAGAAACUUGUUGAACUGGGAAUUUAGUUAAAAUUACUGCCUCCAUUAGGUAUUGGUCUCUGAUUACUCAUAAAAUCUGUAGGUUCUUUAGCUGAACAUUAGGUGGAGCUGUGAAAUUUGAUGGAAUUGCUGGUAAAUACGAGAGUUCGAGAUUUAAGAGUCUCGUAUAUAUAACUUGCAAAACAAUUCUUAUUUGUUCUAAAAUCCUCACUUGAUAUGAGUUUAUGUCAUCUCUUAUUUGAAAAUUAAGGAGGAUUUAUUGACUUACUGCUAAUCGAGCAGAGAUCAGAUGUUAGUGUUGUAACUCUUUGACACUGAUUUUAUGACUUCUUUUUGGUUGAUCCAGAACAGCUGGAGCUGCGGAAAUUGAAGUGGGAAGCAAGAGUUUCAAACAUGCGGUGUUUGUUAUUUUUUAGCUACAUUUUGAACAAGUAUUUUUUGUUAGAACUUAUGUUUGAAAUUUAAUUUGAAUACUGAGAUUGUAAUUUGAGAGUUGAGACUAUUUGUUAUACAAAUUAUUAAUGCUUUUUGGUUACUAAUAUUUUUUAA